rnacentral:lncRNA from 1 species
AAUUACACUCAGAAACAUUAACCAUCUAGGCUUUACCUUUUCAUAUGGCCUCCUUGAAAUCCAAAAUGAAAUCCCUACAGAAAUGUCCUGAUGACCUGAGUCACAUUCUGCCCAAGUAAAUCACUCUUGUAUUGUUUUUAUUUUUUUGGUGGUUGGGUUUCUGUUUAUUUGUUUGUUGAUUGCUUUGUUUUGCUUUUGUUAUUAUUUUCCUCCUGUGAAAGCCUUCAGUUUCUGAUUCACCAACAUCCUUGGUGGUUAUUUUCCCUGUUCCAUACUUUCCCUUGUUAUCUUUCAACUGUUCUUAGUGUCAGAAAUGGUGCCAGACUCUUUGAGGCAGCACACUGGAUAGCACAUCAAAAUUCUGUUUAUGAAAACCCAAAGUUAGAGCAAUUACUAUUUUAUUCAAACAAAGCAGAAAUUUUACAGUGUUAAGUACCUUGUAUUGAAGCCAGUUGCAACCUUGAAUCAUGGAUUCUUUGUAAAAUGAGAAGACAAUCUAGCUCUUGGUCCUGCCUUCAAAGUUGUGAUGAAGUUAAACAAACCCAAUAUCAACCAGUCAUGUUUUAAAGACCUUUAAAAUUUUUCAGUAUUUCUGGUUACAAGUAAUUUCAUAGAUUAAAUGCAGUAAAACAGGGUGAAAUAUAUUUGAUAAUUUUACUUUGGAAUAUGGGUAGACAAAAUAUUGAACGCUGGUAAGUAUGGAAUUUACUUACAAAUUAGCGGGCACUUUAAUUUUUCAUGCCAUAUAGAUCUUCAGUUCUUCCAGAAACAUCAAUUUCUGGCCCUUCCACGGUCACCACCACACUUUGUAUAUCAUUUUCAUAGAUGAUGACACUACCCAUAGUGGGCUAGACCCUUCAACAACAGCCAUCCAAGAAAGAUCCUUCCUUACAGGUGUGGCACUGGCCAAUGUGAUGGAGGCAGUUCUUUAUCUGAGGUUCUAUAUUCCCAGGUUGAGUUAACU